rnacentral:misc_RNA from 1 species
AACACCGACGAGACCUACUG